GUUCAGUUUGAAACUGUGUAGCCUAAGCAUGUGAAGGAAGCUGUACUCUUCCCCUGGGCAUAAAUGAAAGCCUACUCAGCUUUUACCACCAAGUGUCUAUGAUCUAGGUCAGUCAGGACACAGUCAAGGGAUGUCGGAGCUGCUGUGGUCAGCGAGGGGACAAUAAAAAAGGAAGUAAGAGGAAGACCGCAUAUAGAGAAGUGAGACAAUACUCCUGACUUAGAGCAGAAAACCUGGAGAUCCCUUUCACUAUUGUGUUUCUAAAAGCCUUGAAGAAUUUCUGUCUCACUCCAAGUGCCGCUGGAUGCCAUAUAUGGACAUUUCUCCAAUCAUGAAAUUAUGGCCUACAGAAAUAAAAAU